AGAGUUUGAUCCUGGCUCAGGAUGAACGCUGGCGGCGUGCCUAACACAUGCAAGUCGAGCGAUCUUCUUCGGAAGAGAGCGGCGGACGGGUGAGUAACGCGUGGGUAACCUGCCUCAUACACAUGGAUAACAUACCGAAAGGUAUGCUAAUACAAGAUGAUAUAAGAGAUUCGCAUGAAUUUCUUAUCAAAGCUCCGGCGGUAUGAGAUGGACCCGCGUCUGAUUAGCUAGUUGGUAAGGUAACGGCUUACCAAGGCAACGAUCAGUAGCCGACCUGAGAGGGUGAUCGGCCACAUUGGAACUGAGACACGGUCCAAACUCCUACGGGAGGCAGCAGUGGGGAAUAUUGCACAAUGGGCGAAAGCCUGAUGCAGCAACGCCGCGUGAGCGAUGAAGGCCUUCGGGUCGUAAAGCUCUGUCCUCAAGGAAGAUAAUGACGGUACUUGAGGAGGAAGCCCCGGCUAACUACGUGCCAGCAGCCGCGGUAAUACGUAGGGGGCUAGCGUUAUCCGGAUUUACUGGGCGUAAAGGGUGCGUAGGUGGUUUCUUAAGUCAGGAGUGAAAGGCUACGGCUUAACCGUAGUAAGCUCUUGAAACUGGGAAACUUGAGUGCAGGAGAGGAAAGUGGAAUUCCUAGUGUAGCGGUGAAAUGCGUAGAUAUUAGGAGGAACACCAGUAGCGAAGGCGGCUUUCUGGACUGUAACUGACACUGAGGCACGAAAGCGUGGGGAGCAAACAGGAUUAGAUACCCUGGUAGUCCACGCCGUAAACGAUGAGUACUAGGUGUCGGGGGUUACCCCCCUCGGUGCCGCAGCUAACGCAUUAAGUACUCCGCCUGGGGAGUACGCUCGCAAGAGUGAAACUCAAAGGAAUUGACGG
rnacentral:rRNA from 1 species